AUUGAAUGCUGGCGGCAGGCCUAACACAUGCAAGUCGAGCGAGCGGCGGACGGGUGAGUAAUGUCUGGGGAUCUGCCUGAUGGAGGGGGAUAACUACUGGAAACGGUAGCUAAUACCGCAUACCAUCAGAUGUACCCAUAUGGGAUUAGCUUGUUGGUGAGGUAACGGCUCACCUAGGCGACGAUCCCUAGCUGGUCUGAGAGGAUGAUCAGCAACACUGGAACGGAGACACGGUCCAGAAUCCUACGGGAGGCAGCAGUGGGGAAUAUUGCACAAGGGGCGCAAGCCUGAUGCAGCCAUGCCGCGUGUAUGAAGAAGGCCUUCGGGUUGUAAAGUACUUUCAGUGGGGAGGCGUUACCGACAGAAGAAGCACCGGCUAACUCCGUGCCAGCAGCCGCGGUAAUAC
rnacentral:rRNA from 1 species